rnacentral:rRNA from 1 species
GGCGGGACACGUGGUAUCCUGUCUGAAUAUGGGGGGACCAUCCUCCAAGGCUAAAUACUCCUGACUGACCGAUAGUGAACCAGUACCGUGAGGGAAAGGCGAAAAGAACCCCGGCGAGGGGAGUGAAAAAGAACCUGAAACCGUGUACGUACAAGCAGUGGGAGCCUCUUUAUGGGGUGACUGCGUACCUUUUGUAUAAUGGGUCAGCGACUUAUAUUCUGUAGCAAGGUUAACCGUAUAGGGGAGCCGAAGGGAAACCGAGUCUUAACUGGGCGUUAAGUUGCAGGGUAUAGACCCGAAACCCGGUGAUCUAGCCAUGGGCAGGUUGAAGGUUGGGUAACACUAACUGGAGGACCGAACCGACUAAUGUUGAAAAAUUAGCGGAUGACCUGUGGCUGGGGGUGAAAGGCCAAUCAAACCGGGAGAUAGCUGGUUCUCCCCGAAAGCUAUUUAGGUAGCGCCUCGUGAAUUCAUCUUCGGGGGUAGAGCACUGUUUCGGCUAGGGGGCCAUCCCGGCUUACCAACCCGAUGCAAACUACGAAUACCGAAGAAUGUUAUCACGGGAGACACACGGCGGGUGCUAACGUCCGUCGUGAAGAGGGAAACAACCCAGACCGCCAGCUAAGGUCCCAAAGUCAUGGUUAAGUGGGAAACGAUGUGGGAAGGCACAGACAGCCAGGAUGUUGGCUUAGAAGCAGCCAUCAUUUAAAGAAAGCGUAAUAGCUCACUGGUCGAGUCGGCCUGCGCGGAAGAUGUAACGGGGCUAAACCAUGCACCGAAGCUGCGGCAGCGACGCUUAGGCGUUGUUGGGUAGGGGAGCGUUCUGUAAGCCGUUGAAGGUGUCCUGUGAGGGGUGCUGGAGGUAUCAGAAGUGCGAAUGCUGACAUAAGUAACGAUAAAGCGGGUGAAAAGCCCGCUCGCCGGAAGACCAAGGGUUCCUGUCCAACGUUAAUCGGGGCAGGGUGAGUCGACCCCUAAGGCGAGGCCGAAAGGCGUAGUCGAUGGGAAACAGGUUAAUAUUCCUGUACUUGGUGUUACUGCGAAGGGGGGACGGAGAAGGCUAUGUCAGCCGGGCGACGGUUGUCCCGGUUUAAGCAUGUAGGCGGAGGU